rnacentral:tRNA from 1 species
GUGGCUGAAGCUCAGUUGGCAGAGCGCCGGACUGUGGAUCCGGAGGCGGCACGGUUCGAGUCCGGCCAGUCACC